CAAAGGGAAGCAAGGCGUGAGCGUAAGCAAAACCCAAAAAUAACGUCCCAGUUCGGAUUGUAGUCUGCAACCCGACUACAUGAAGCUGGAAUCGCUAGUAAUCGCGGAUCAGAAUGCCGCGGUGAAUACGUUCCCGGGUCUUGUACACACCGCCCGUCACACCAUGGGAGUCGGAAAUGCCCGAAGUCGGUGACCGAACCGAAAGGAAGGAGCCGCCGAAGGCAGGUCUGGUGACUGGGGUGAAGUCGUAACAAGGUAUC
rnacentral:rRNA from 1 species